CUAAUACAUGCAGUCGACGCGUUGGCCCAAUUGAUUGAUGGUGCUUGCACCUGAUUGAUUUUGGUCGCCAACGAGUGGCGGACGGGUGAGUAACACSUAGGUAACCUGCCCAGAAGCGGGGGACAACAUUUGGAAACAGAUGCUAAUACCGACAUAACAACGUUGUUCGCAUGAACAACGCUUAAAAGAUGGCUUCUCGCUAUCACUUCUGGAUGGACCUGCGGUGCAUUAGCUUGUUGGUGGGGUAACGGCCUACCAAGGCGAUGAUGCAUAGCCGAGUUGAGAGACUGAUCGGCCACAAUGGGACUGAGACACGGCCCAUACUCCUACGGGAGGCAGCAGUAGGGAAUCUUCCACAAUGGGCGCAAGCCUGAUGGAGCAACACCGCGUGAGUGAAGAAGGGUUUCGGCUCGUAAAGCUCUGUUGUUAAAGAAGAACACGUAUGAGAGUAACUGUUCAURCGUUGACGGUAUUUAACCAGAAAGUCACGGCUAACUACGUGCCAGCAGCCGCGGUAAUACGUAGGUGGCAAGCGUUAUCCGGAUUUAUUGGGCGUAAAGAGAGUGCAGGCGGUUUUCUAAGUCUGAUGUGAAAGCCUUCGGCUUAACCGGAGAAGUGCAUCGGAAACUGGAUAACUUGAGUGCAGAAGAGGGUAGUGGAACUCCAUGUGUAGCGGUGGAAUGCGUAGAUAUAUGGAAGAACACCAGUGGCGAAGGCGGCUACCUGGUCUGCAACUGACKCUGAGACUCGAAAGCAUGGGUAGCGAACAGGAUUAGAUACCCUGGUAGUCCAUGCCGUAAA
rnacentral:rRNA from 1 species